rnacentral:rRNA from 1 species
GGGUGAGUAACGACGUGGGGAACCCUAGCCCCCACUAGUCUGGGAUACCACUUGGAAACAGGUGCUAAUACCGGAUAAGAAAGCAGAUCGCAUGAUCAGCUUUUUAAAAAGGCGGCGUAAGCUGUCGCUAUGGGAUGGCCCCGCGGUGCAUUAGCUAGUUGGUAAGGUAAAGGCUUACCAAGGCGAUGAUGCAUAGCCGAGUUGAGAGACUGAUCGGCCACAUUGGACUGAGACACGGCCCAAACUCCUACGGGAGGCAGCAGUAGGGAAUCUUCCACAAUGGACGCAAGUCUGAUGGAGCAACGCCGCGUGAGUGAAGAAGGUUUUCGGAUCGUAAAGCUCUGUUGUUGGUGAAGAAGGAUAGAGGUAGUAACUGGCCUUUAUUUGACGGUAAUCAACCAGAAAGUCACGGCUAACUACGUGCCAGCAGCCGCGGUAAAU